rnacentral:lncRNA from 10 species
UAGAGGAAGUUGUUGUGUCUGUCAAGUUGUUCUUUCUUGUGUUUGGGCAGGAAAAAAGGCUGAUACCUGCUGGAUUAUGUAUGUAUAAAAAUUCUUGGCCGGGCGCGGUGGCUCAUGCUUGUAAUCCCAGCAUUUUGGGAGGCCAAGGUGCUCCAGCCUGCGCAAUAAGAGCAGAACUCUGUCUCAAAAAAAAUUCUUAAAUGGUCUUUUAAAAGUCAUUUCAACGAUAACAAGAAGAAAACUUAAUUGAUCAGCUUAACCCAUUUUUAUUGAGCCCUUAUCAGGGCAGGUACUGAUACCCCAAUAAUUUUAAGAACUGUUUUUGUCAAUGUUAAACAAUGUACUUACAUAAAAAAGAGGGCAUGGAGGAUUCCUCCCAGGACAGAAGUGUAGCUCUGCCAAGUAAAUGCUGCUCUCAGCAGCCCAGGGCCCUCCGCUUGCCCGGCAUUCCAGGUCCCUGGGCCACAGAACCCCGGGCUCAUUAUGUAUGACUGGGCUGAGCAGGAGGUGGUAGUCCCUGUGGCUCUGGAGUCCACCUGCUGGAAUCCAGACCCCAGCCCCACUUACUAGCCAUGGGGCGUCAGCAACACCG